rnacentral:rRNA from 2 species
GGACUACUGGGGUAUCUAAUCCUGUUCGCUCCCCACGCUUUCGCGCCUCAGUGUCAGUUACGGGCCAGGAAGUCGCCUUCGCCACUGGUGUUCCUUCCGAUAUCUACGCAUUUCACCGCUACACCGGAAAUUCCACUUCCCUCUCCCGUCCUCUAGCUAAUCAGUUUCAUAUGCCAUUCCUAGGUUAAGCCCAGGGAUUUCACAUCUGACUUAAUUAACCACCUACGCGCCCUUUACGCCCAGUAAUUCCGAUUAACGCUCGCACCCUCUGUAUUACCGCGGCGGCUGGCAC